rnacentral:snRNA from 1 species
UUUAGCACAGAGUCUACAACUUAGUAAAUCUUUAAAAAUCCAACAUACAAUGGCCCCUGCGCAAGGAUGACACGCAAAUUCGUGAAGCGUUCCAUAUUUAA